GGCCCCGGGUUGUAAACCUCUUUUAGUAGGGAAGAAGGGAGCCGCUCUUGACGGUACCUGCAGAAAAAGCACCGGCUAACUACGUGCCAGCAGCCGCGGUAAUACGUAGGGUGCAAGCGUUGUCCGGAAUUAUUGGGCGUAAAGAGCUCGUAGGCGGUUUGUCGCGUCUGCUGUGAAAUCCCGAGGCUCAACCUCGGGCUUGCAGUGGGUACGGGCAGACUAGAGUGCGGUAGGGGAGAUUGGAAUUCCUGGUGUAGCGGUGGAAUGCGCAGAUAUCAGGAGGAACACCGAUGGCGAAGGCAGAUCUCUGGGCCGUAACUGACGCUGAGGAGCGAAAGCAUGGGGAGCGAACAGGAUUAGAUACCCUGGUAGUCCAUGCCGUAAACGUUGGGCGCUAGAUGUAGGGACCUUUCCACGGUUUCUGUGUCGUAGCUAACGCAUUAAGCGCCCCGCCUGGGGAGUACGGCCGCAAGGCUAAAACUCAAAGGAAUUGACGGGGGCCCGCACAAGCGGCGGAGCAUGCGGAUUAAUUCGAUGCUACGCGAAGAACCUUACCAAGGCUUGACAUACACCGGAAACGGCCAGAGAUGGUCGCCCCCUU
rnacentral:rRNA from 1 species